UGCUCGCUAUGUAGUUUGAACGUCUCAAAGGUUGGGUGAUAGGAUCAAACAGCAUGUACCAAGUUCAACCAGAAAUGUACCAACUUCAAUCAGUCCCCUCAAGACAACAACCAAAACGGGAUUGUAAGAAAAGUAAUUUCGUUUCAUGUGACUCCACGAUAGACGUUGACACCUAAGGAGUAGUCUGCCGAAAUGCAUCGUGGCGUUUACUAUGGUGUUUGCUAUCUCUUAGAACUACUUUUAGAACAAUUUAAAUUUUAAAAUGUGUGUAUUUUAUGCAGUGGAAUGUACAGAAUAUAGAAUACAUGAAACCAGUCUGUAAAUUUCAUUUAAAAAUUAAAUAACUUCAUUGUUAAAAAUACAAGCCCUAUUGGUCUUUGGAUGAAAUAAUACACAGUACAAGUCAUUUGCAACACAAUCUUCACUUUAGAAUCAAGCAAGCACUUGGCUAGCAACUAGAAAAAAAAUUAAAAAUCAAUUAAAAUGAACUUUGGUCGUAACUUUUACAGAGCACAAAUUGCUUUGAUUCAGUUUUCCAUAAUAUAGGUAGCAUUAUUGUAAUCAUGUAAUAUUUUAGAAUAUAACGUUUCUCUCAAUGACAA